GGUGGGUUUGGUAACAGUAGAGGGGGUGGAGCUGGCUUGGGAAAUAACCAGGGUGGUAAUAUGGGUGGAGGGAUGAAUUUUGGUGCUUUUAGCAUUAAUCCAGCGAUGAUGGCUGCAGCUCAGGCAGCGUUACAGAGCAGUUGGGGUAUGAUGGGCAUGUUAGCCAGCCAGCAGAACCAGUCAGGCCCAUCUGGGAAUAACCAAAGCCAGGGCAGCAUGCAGAGGGAACCAAAUCAGGCUUUUGGUUCUGGAAAUAACUCUUACAGUGGUUCUAAUUCUGGUGCCCCCCUUGGUUGGGGGUCAGCAUCAAAUGCAGGAUCAGGCAGUGGUUUUAAUGGAGGCUUUGGCUCAAGCAUGGAUUCUAAAUCCUCUGGCUGGGGAAUGUAGGUGGGUGGGGGUGGUUAGUAGGUUGGUUGGUAGGUUAGGUAGGUUUAGAAUGGUGGGAUUCAAAUUUUUCUAAACUCAUGGUAAGUAUAUUGUAAAAUACAUAUGUACUAAAAUUUUCAGAUUGGUUUGUUCAGUGUGGAGUAUAUUCAGCAGUAUUUUUGACAUUUUUCUUUAGAAAAAAGAGGGAAAAACUAAAUGAAUUUUAUAAGUUUUGUUAUAUAAAGGGUUAAAAUACUGAGUGGGUGAAAGUGAACUGCUGUUUGCCUAAUUGGUAAACCAACACUACAAUUGAUCUCAGAAGGUUUCUCUGUAAUAUUCUAUCAUUGGAAUUGUUAAUGAAUUCUUUGCAUGUUCAGAGUAGAAACCAUUGGUUAGAACUACAUUCUUUUCUCCUUAUUUUAAUUUGAAUCCCACCCUAUGAAUUUCUUCCUUAGGAAAAUCUCCAUUUGGGAGAUCAUGAUGUCAUGGUGUUUGGUUCUUUUGGUUUUGUUUUUAACACUUGUCUUCCUUCAUAUACGAAAGUACAAUAUGAAGCCUUCAUUUAAUCUCUGCAGUUCAUCUCAUUUCAAAUGUUUAUGGAAGAAGCACUUCAUUGAAAGUAGUGCUGUAAAUAUUCUGCCAUAGGAAUACUUCUGUCUACAUGCUUUCUCAUCCAAGAAUUCGUCAUCACGCUGCACAGGCUGCGUCUUUGACGGUGGGUGUUCCAUUUUUAUCCGCUACUCUUUAUUUCAUGGAAUCGUAUCAACGCUAUGAACGCAAGGCUGUGAUAUGGAACCAGAAGGCUGUUUGAACUUUUGAAACCUUGUGUGGGAUUGAUGGUGGUGCCGAGGCAUGAAAGGCUAGUAUGAGCGAGAAAAGGAGAGAGCGCGUGCAGAGACUUGGUGGUGGAAAAUGGAUAUUUUUUAACUUGGAGAGAUGUGUCCCUCAAUCCUGUGGCUUUGGUGCGAGAGUGUGCAGAGAGCAAUGAUAGCAGAUAACUAACGUACGAGUGUUUCUGCAUCAGAGGACAUCCACGUCUGUUGGAAGACUUUGAGUUUUGUUCUUAGGAAACCCACAGUAGCUGAAUGUGUUAAGUGAAAUACUUGUACUUCCCUCCCCUCUGUCAACUGCUGUGAAUGCUGUAUGGUGUGUGUUCUCCUCUGUUACUGAUCUGGAAGUGUGGGAACGUGAACUGAAGCUGAUGGGCUGCGAACAUGGACUGAGCUUGUGGUGUGCUUUGCAGGAGAACUUGGAAGCAGAGUUCACCAGUGAGCUCAGGUGUCUCAAAGAAGGGUGGAAGUUCUCAUGUCUGUUAGCUAUUCAUAAGAAUGCUGUUUGCUGCAGUUCUGUGUCCUGUGCUUGGAUGCUUUUUAUAAGAGUUGUCAUUGUUGGAAAUUCUUAAAUAAAACUGAUUUAAAUAAUAUGUGUCUUUGUUUUGCAGCCCUGAAUGCAAAGAAUUCAUAGCAGUUAAUUCCCCUUUUUGACCCUUUUGAGAUGGAACUUUCAUAAAGUUUCUUGGCAGUAGUUUAUUUUGCUUCAAAUAAACUUAUUUGAAAAGUUGUCUCAAGUCAAAUGGAUUCAUCACCUGUCAUGCAUUGACACCUGAUACCCAGACUUAAUUGCUAUUUGUUCUUGCAUUGUCCAAAGUGAAAGUUUUUCUUUGGGUUAUUCUGUUUUUAAUCUAGUUUUUCUUAAGUCUGGGUGACCGCACCUAAAAUGGUAAGCAGUUACCCUCCUGCUUGUUCUGAGUGCCUCUGUGCAUUUACGUGGCUGUGGGAGUCCCCGCUGGGGAGUCACCUUUUAAAAUAACUAUUUGGGAGAGAGGGCAAAACAGUUGACUGUUUUCAAAUGCUGUGCAGUAGAGCAUAUUGAUGGAAAAGAAGGGGGUGAUAAGCACCUUUCUGUUUGGGAUUUGAAAAGUGGAAUUAAUUGCAAUAGGGAUGAAGUAGAAGAAACCAAGAAACCAUGUGCCUGAAAUCCAUUAAGAAGCCUGAUAGCUUUAAGAACUAGUAGGGUGGGUUGUCUUAUCUGUGGCAGUCUUAAGUGAGGUAGGCUCCUACCCUCCUGAAUGUGGGGGUUGUAGUGAUGAAUAAAUAUGCUCACAAAACCAGAUUAGACUGUCAAUGCAUUGUUAAGAAUGUAAAAGCAAUAAUACAUUGAUUAUUGUACUUUUCCUGUAACUACUGAGAACUGAGGGGCUCCUUUUCUAACUGGAAGAAUGUGACAGUUUUGUGUUGGUAGUUUCCCUAACGCCCUUACCUAAAUAGACUAUGAUAAAUAGGUUUGUCAUUUUGCAAGUUGCGUGUUUGAAAAUUUUAUAUCCUUUAGAGACUUGUUAUGAACACAUUGUUUCAUUAUACAGUAUCCUCUGUAAAAGGAUCGUGAGUUAUUGUAAAUUUUUUUCUCUGCAUCUAAACCUGCAUGAUUUCCAAACCCUGUACAUCUGAAUUUUGCAUUUUAGCACUUGCACUAUUACUCAGCAGCAGUAACAUGGUAACAUUAAAAUGGUUUUCGGGGACCUCCAAAGACUAAAACUGGCAAGCCGUCCAGGAGUCCUGGGGUAAGUUACUUGUCAAUGGCAUGGUUUUGAUCCCUUUUUUGCACUUGUUAAAGACUUACUGGUCAUAGAAGGCUUUCAGUGUUGAGUAGCCUUUUGUUUAACAUGUUUAUGGUAUGACAUAGCUGUAGAUAGUUACUUGCCAUAAAUGAAGUUUUAGAAAUAAACUACUUGGCAAAGAUUUGUUUUCGAAAGUCUGGUCAUCAAAACGCGUUCAUUCCUUAAAAAUAAUGAAAGAGAACUCUUUGAACCUCGGUUGAAUAAAAGGUUUUCUUGCCACCAA
rnacentral:lncRNA from 1 species